rnacentral:lncRNA from 1 species
CGACUAAAUAACAUAAUGUACCUCUCUCUCAUUCAUCUUCAAAGGUAUGCGUUUGUUUUAUAUGGUUCAUUUGAAUAUUUUGAACGAGUGUUUUGGUUCACAUAACUACCUCUUCACAAUGAUACUUAAAUUUCACUUUGCUGUAGGGUUCGUGGAGCUAAGCCAUUCAGCAGGGAUUGUUAACUUUCUAUUUUAAAGUACUGAAGCUGUGAACAAGUAAGCUACCUGCUUCUACAUUCUUUUCCACAGUAAUUUAAUUUCAGUUUUUUCAUAGUUUACAACUUUUUCAUUUGUACUAAAAUUAAUAAGGACUACCAAAAUACACGGUUAAAAACAUAGUCAAAUAAACAAGACUUAUUUACACAUAUGAAAAGUUUAUCUUAAAACAUUGUUAUAAUAGGUUUUUGUACUAAAAAUUCAAAAACACACACAUAUAUAUGAUAAGGCUAUAAAUGUUGAUAGUUUACACACAAAUACAUAUCUUCUUUUUGUUGUCAAACAUACACAAAUAUAACUAUGUUAUGGUGUAGAUAUAUUCAAAAUUAUAAAGAAAGAUCUUUAUGAAGAAAAAUAUUUUAAUGAGAGAAAAAUUUGGGUUAUUUACAAAGAAAAGAGUUAAUUAAGAUACAAAUACGUCUUCUAGAAAAACACCUACAUUCAAACACUAUAACUAAUAGCCACAGAGAUAAAUAAAAAAGUUCAAGAUCCAAUGGUGUUGGCUUGGUUUGACUUCAACCGUCAUUCUCAUUGACAUAUUCAAGUACUAUUAAGUGUAAUCUAAGUUCAAAAAAUCUUUUCAGGUUUUUAGAAGGACCAACGUCGACAAAGAUUUGAGGACAUACGACAGUGAAGUCUACCAUUCAUACAAAGAGGUUUGUUUGGUUAGAGGAUUAAUUAGUAUACAAGCAUUUGUUACUUUAUACGUUUAUAAAAUAUAAACUCUAAUUUUUUUUUCCUCAACACACGUAUAAACUAUAUAUAGUACAAUAUAUUUGUAAUUUUUCAUCCUAGCACUUGCUCUUUUUACUCUUUACC